ensembl:snoRNA Gm25611 predicted gene, 25611
CCUGUCUCUACAGGCAUUUCAGGUGUUUUGCUGUGUGUCACAUGUACAUCAGUAGGUGGCAGAGAGGAGAGACACUAUGUCUACACUCAGUGUUCUGACCUAUGAACAUUUGAAUGAUUAGUAGCCUAACGUU